rnacentral:sRNA from 1 species
CUGGGGUGGGAUGGCGGUUUGGGGGGUUUGGUUGUUUUGGGUUUCUUCGUCUCUCUUGGCUAUGUAGUCAUCUCAUCAGUAAUCCGGCCGGCGGGGGGUUUGAUAUCUUCCAUUCCGCGCUAGAGGUUUUCCCAAGCACAGUUUGAAAAAUGGUUGGUUGCCAAUGGUUUGAAUGGCCCAGGCUUAUUGUGCAUGGCAAUAGUGACAAACGGCAUCGGAUAGGAGAGUUCAGAGAGGUUUAACACGCACACCCCCGCACCACCACCCACGCACUGGUCCUGUUUUGUGUCGCGGGGUGAAGCGUAUUUGAGUGUCACCUUUGGGUAGCUAGCUGCUUCUUCCCCCUCCGCCGAAGCAAAAAUUGCCCGGAGAGAAAAUAAAAACGGGGGAGAGAGUAGAAUAAGGAUAUCAUAAAAAAUGGG